rnacentral:lncRNA from 1 species
UCAAACUCCCGGCUCCAGGGUGCAGAGAUACGGCGGGAGAGCAGACCUUGAACUUUCCUUGCUUCAGCGAUUCCUAGCCUAGGAACUGAGUAAACUACGAACUGGGAGUUCUGAAGAAUGGGUAAAGACUUUCGUUACUAUUUCCAGCAUCCCUGGUCUCGCAUGAUUGUGGCUUACUUGGUGAUCUUCUUUAACUUCUUAAUAUUUGCGGAGGACCCAGUUUCUCAUAGCCAAACAGAAGCCAAUGUUAUUGUUGUUGGAAACUGUUUUUCAUUUGUUACAAAUAAAUACCCUAGAGGAGUUGGCUGGAGGAUUUUGAAGGUGCUUCUAUGGCUGCUUG